UUGAUAACAACUAUCACUGAAAUAUUAAUUCACUUAAUAUAAAUAUAGGUCGCCUUUAUUUCACAAGGCAAUAAGGAUCUUGUACCUAUCAGAAAAGCAGCUGCUAAAGCUCAAGCUACGAAUAUCAUACAUCUCGAAUAUAGGGUUCAACUUCCAGAGCACGAUUGGGUAGUCGCUGACGGCACCAAACUAAUUCCGUCAGUUUAUGGUAAUAUUACAAUUAAGGAUGGCAGGACAGGAAACCCUACUAACGUUUAAUACUUUGGUCCAACUUGUGUGGCAAUAAGGAACGGAAAACACAGUUCGUCUACUGCUGCUACCCAUGUAGUGGAUCUUGAACGACUAUUAGAGCUAGAUUAUUCUAAAGAAAUGAUGAAAAACCGAAAUGAACAUAUUUAACCAGUCUUCAUGAUAUUAGUCGAUGAUGGCCCUAUUGAAAAUCUAUGGAAAGUGAUAGCUCACGCAAUUGAGCACUUUCAAAAAUUCAAUUUGGAACAUUUCUUUCUCUUCACAAACGCGCCUGUUCGAAACUUUAGCUCGAGAAAAGAAAUUUUGAAUUCGCUGGAGAAGUGUUCAGCAAAAUAUGGAAUAAUCUGAAAAUAGGUGGAUAUAACGUGUAUUCUGAAUACAUAUUUCCGCUACAAUCUCCAGCCAUAUCGUCAGAACUUCCCAGUGCAGAACGGUACAUUAAAAAUGUCUCCGAAAGUCAAUAUUUCUUGCAGAUUAUUAAGUGUGAUAUAAUUUGCCGCUGUGCAACAUUUCGAAGCGACUUGAAAAAAGUUUUAGUCUUGGAACGAGUCCCUCCUCCUUUUCCAUUGAUUGCGAGAUUAAUCUGGACUUAUCAUCCCAUCGCCUGCCGAUGAAAGGGCAAUUGAAUUCGCCAGGCUUCUUCAACGGCAAACUUUUUAUUUAAAGCCUAGUUACAAUGGACAUAUGAUCAUGCCAUACGACUUUUAUUAUCCAUUAGUCAGACUGACCUCCUGGCCAGGACAUGCAAAUUUUCUGGGUACUACGGUGCUUAAAUAAAAGUGGUGAAUGGCACAGAAACAGUUUCCUUCCUUACGGAGUAACACAAAAAUCUCGGAUUCUACCAGUAUGCAUGGUAUUGCGAAGAAAGCGUAAGAUGCUUUGUUAUUUAAGAGCGUCUUCUGGUGAGGAAGCAGAGUGGAUAGAUGUACGGGCGCUUAUAAAGAUUGAUCCGAGUCCUAUACAGUCCUAGCCGGGAUCUUUUCGAUAUAGCAGCUCGAAGCAUGUUCGACAAAUAUACAAAAUAAAUGUAUUUUCUGAAUGAAAUGUAAAUAGUUGGUUAUUCUUUUCCUCAAGUUGGUGUCCUAUGAUAUUUAUCGUU